rnacentral:rRNA from 1 species
UGGGGAAUAUUGCACAAUGGGCGCAAGCCUGAUGCAGCCAUGCCGCGUGUGUGAAGAAGGCCUUCGGGUUGUAAAGCACUUUCAGCGGGGAGGAAGGCGAUAAGGUUAAUAACCUCAUCGAUUGACGUUACCCGCAGAAGAAGCACCGGCUAACUCCGUGCCAGCAGCCGCGGUAAUACGGAGGGUGCAAGCGUUAAUCGGAAUUACUGGGCGUAAAGCGCACGCAGGCGGUCUGUCAAGUCGGAUGUGAAAUCCCCGGGCUCAACCUGGGAAAUGCAUUCGAAACUGGCAGGCUAGAGUCUUGUAGAGGGGGGUAGAAUUCCAGGUGUAGCGGUGAAAUGCGUAGAGAUCUGGAGGAAUACCGGUGGCGAAGGCGGCCCCCUGGACAAAGACUGACGCUCAGGUGCGAAAGCGUGGGGAGCAAACAGG